AUACGGAGGGCGCAAGCGUUGUUCGGAAUCAUUGGGCGUAAAGCGCGUGUAGGCGGCUUGGUAAGUCGGAUGUGAAAGCCCGGGGCUCAACCCCGGAAUUGCAUUCGAAACUGCCCAGCUAGAGUCUCGGAGAGGAGGGCGGAAUUCCCGGUGUAGAGGUGAAAUUCGUAGAUAUCGGGAGGAACACCAGUGGCGAAGGCGGCCCUCUGGACGAUGACUGACGCUGAGACGCGAAAGCGUGGGGAGCAAACAGGAUUAGAAACCCCAGUAGUCC
rnacentral:rRNA from 1 species